GCAAGUCGAGCGGUAGAGAGGUGCUUGCACCUCUUGAGAGCGGCGGACGGGUGAGUAAAGCCUAGGAAUCUGCCUGGUAGUGGGGGAUAACGCUCGGAAACGGACGCUAAUACCGCAUACGUCCUACGGGAGAAAGCAGGGGACCUUCGGGCCUUGCGCUAUCAGAUGAGCCUAGGUCGGAUUAGCUAGUUGGUGAGGUAAUGGCUCACCAAGGCGACGAUCCGUAACUGGUCUGAGAGGAUGAUCAGUCACACUGGAACUGAGACACGGUCCAGACUCCUACGGGAGGCAGCAGUGGGGAAUAUUGGACAAUGGGCGAAAGCCUGAUCCAGCCAUGCCGCGUGUGUGAAGAAGGUCUUCGGAUUGUAAAGCACUUUAAGUUGGGAGGAAGGGCAUUAACCUAAUACGUUAGUGUUUUGACGUUACCGACAGAAUAAGCACCGGCUAACUCUGUGCCAGCAGCCGCGGUAAUACAGAGGGUGCAAGCGUUAAUCGGAAUUACUGGGCGUAAAGCGCGCGUAGGUGGUUCGUUAAGUUGGAUGUGAAAUCCCCGGGCUCAACCUGGGAACUGCAUUCAAAACUGUCGAGCUAGAGUAUGGUAGAGGGUGGUGGAAUUUCCUGUGUAGCGGUGAAAUGCGUAGAUAUAGG
rnacentral:rRNA from 1 species